rnacentral:rRNA from 1 species
UACGUAGGGUGCGAGCGUUGUCCGGAAUUAUUGGGCGUAAAGAGCUCGUAGGCGGUCUGUCGCGUCGAUCGUGAAAACUUGGGGCUUAACCCUGAGCUUGCGGUCGAUACGGGCAUGACUGGAGUUCGGCAGGGGAGACUGGAAUUCCUGGUGUAGCGGUGAAAUGCGCAGAUAUCAGGAGGAACACCGGUGGCGAAGGCGGGUCUCUGGGCCGUAACUGAUGCUGAGGAGCGAAAGCGUGGGGAGCGAACAGG